rnacentral:rRNA from 1 species
AUGAACGCUAGCGGCAGGCUUAACACAUGCAAGUCGAGGGGCAGCACGGGUAGCAAUACUUGGUGGCGACCGGCGCAAGGGUGCGUAACGCGUGAGCAACAUGCCCGUAUCAGGGGGAUAAUCCAGGGAAACUUGGUCUAAUACCCCAUAGCAAUUGGAGGAGGCAUCUUUUUCAAUUUAAAGCUUUGGUGGAUACGGAUUGGCUCGCGUGACAUUAGCUAGAUGGUAAGGUAACGGCUUACCAUGGCUACGAUGUCUAGGGGUUCUGAGAGGAAGGUCCCCCACAUUGGAACUGAGACACGGUCCAAACUCCUACGGGAGGCAGCAGUGAGGAAUAUUGGUCAAUGGGCGAGAGCCUGAACCAGCCAAGUCGCGUGAAGGAAGAAGGUUCUAUGGAUUGUAAACUUCUUUUGCAGGGGAAUAAAGUUCGCUACGAGUAGCGAUUUGUAAGUACCUUGCGAAUAAGGAUCGGCUAACUCCGU